GAGUUAAGGAGUACCGACCAUGAGAUUCUUUAGAGAAGAAGGCCACCAUCAGUAUGGAUGUGGUCUUUGAUGAAAAAUCAGUCCUUUAGAGGCAAGAAGGCAUGGAGGAACAGCAGGUGCAGCAGGAGGUCCAGUCGGACAGCGAUAGCAAUUAUUUUGCCUUUUGCAGAUGCAUCUGGAGGACUUAAUAUUUAGGUAGAGCACCAUCCAGAGGUACCUCCACAUGUGGAGAGGGCUGAGAUA
rnacentral:lncRNA from 1 species